AACGCGAAGAACCUUACCUGGGCUCGAAAUGUACAGGAAUCCGGUGGAAACAUCGGCGCCCCGCAAGGGGCCUGUAUAUAGGUGCUGCAUGGCUGUCGUCAGCUCGUGUCGUGAGAUGUUGGGUUAAGUCCCGCAACGAGCGCAACCCUUACCUCCAGUUGCUACCAUUUAGUUGAGCACUCUGGCGGAACCGCCUCGGAUAACGGGGAGGAAGGUGGGGAUGACGUCAAGUCCUCAUGGCCUUUAUGUCCAGGGCUACACACGUGCUACAAUGGCCGGUACAAACCGUCGCAAACCCGCGAGGGGGAGCUAAUCGGAAAAAGCCGGCCUCAGUUCGGAUUACAGUCUGCAACUCGACUGUAUGAAGCUGGAAUCGCUAGUAAUCGCGGAUCAGAAUGCCGCGGUGAAUACGUUCCCGGGCCUUGUACACACCGAUAGC
rnacentral:rRNA from 1 species